rnacentral:rRNA from 1 species
UGGGGAAUAUUGGACAAUGGGGGCAACCCUGAUCCAGCAAUGCCGCGUGUGUGAAGAAGGUCUUCGGAUUGUAAAGCACUUUCGACGGGGACGAUGAUGACGGUACCCGUAGAAGAAGCCCCGGCUAACUUCGUGCCAGCAGCCGCGGUAAUACGAAGGGGGCUAGCGUUGCUCGGAAUGACUGGGCGUAAAGGGCGUGUAGGCGGUUUACACAGUCAGAUGUGAAAUCCCCGGGCUUAACCUGGGAGCUGCAUUUGAUACGUGUAGACUAGAGUGUGAGAGAGGGUUGUGGAAUUCCCAGUGUAGAGGUGAAAUUCGUAGAUAUUGGGAAGAACACCGGUGGCGAAGGCGGCAACCUGGCUCAUUACUGACGCUGAGGCGCGAAAGCGUGGGGAGCAAACAGGAUUAGAUACCCUGGUAGUCCACGCCU